UAAUAGAACUUAAACAAAAUUUUAGCCAAGCCAAAAUCAUGUUCCACAAGAUGUCCAAGAUCCUCUGCAGCACCAAAUUACAGCUUGAGCUGAGAUGCCGCCUUGUAAAGUGCUAUGUCUGGUCCACCCUCUUGUAUGGUUGUGAAACUUGGGUUCUCAAAAAGGA